UUUCAAAUUUCAAAAGUAACAAUCAGAUUGUAAACUAAUGGGAACACAGACUUCACGUAAAUGUGUUUCUCAUUAAAGUACAAAAAAGGCAUAACUGAAUUAAAUCCCCAGCACAAUGCAGAAUACUAAAUUUAAAGUAUAUUUAUUUCCUACUUUGUAGCUAAAUAUAACAGCAAUCUAUAUCUGACAACCUUCUUUCCCUUGGCCAGGUAGUUUGCCCCUCUAAUCACAUUAUCCAUUUGGGCGUUUGAAUCCCAAGUUAGUAUUUUGUGCCCGUACACCACUCGUAAUUUGUUCAGCAUGCUUUUCUGGUUGUCCUGCAUAUCUUAUCCCCAAACUCGUUCAGUGAACUUGUUCUACCACCAUCUCACCUUUUUUUGUAUCCUGCAACAACAUAGAUAUAGGAUUCCGUGUUACAUCCCUGAAAAACAUAGGCAAAGAACACGAAACAUAUAUUUCAGAAACAAUUACCUCUGUCUCUCUAUCCCUUAUUUUAGUGACCAUGUCCCGUCUUUCAGUGCAUCUACUUGCAUUUGUCUCGUUCAUCCUCUUUUCACCAUGUCUCUUCAUACUAACAUUCUUAGUCUUCCCAAACUGUUCAACCGGUGUGACGAAGUCAUCAUCUUCGUCACUAAUCUCAUCAGCUGGCGUCGAUUUGUUUAUCCCUAUUCUGAUCUUAAAUCUAACUUCCCAGAAUUUUUUGCCUUAUUUAAGUCCCCUGUUGUUCCCGUAUGUUCAUGCAUUGCAUUACCUUGGGCUUGUACCGGCUUUAUAAGCCUUUUCAGUUGUCCCUCAGAAGAGUUCCCGCCCUCUACGUCUAAAUUAAUGUAAACAGGUGCUUUUUUCGGCCAAUUGUAUAUCCAAGGACUCUCAAUGAGCCUCGAACUCCUCCUUCGUUCUGCAAAAAAGUGGUAAGAAAUACUUAUCUUAAAAAUGUUGGAGCUCAUCUACCACAUUAACCUAAAUCAUGUUUUUUGAUAAACAAAGUCUUCUCAAAUUUUUCAAAAUAAAUUUACAACACGAGGUUUUUGAUGAACAAAGUUUUUUUUACAAUUUUCAAAAUAAAUUUAGUUGUUCUGCACUUGUGCUAUCAUUCCCUACAAUAGUUAUUAGCUUAAUAGCGUAACAUAUUUACGAAAACUCAAAAUUAAUAAAGCAUUGUAUCCUUGAUUCCAUAUAAUAGUUAACCAAAUGAAUAAAUAUAAUACUACAAUCAACAUGUCAGCAUGAAGUAUCACCAUAUUCAUUCCAAUUUAAGCCAGGCGAUAUAUUAAUACAUAAGGAACAAUAUUAGCAACCAGUAGUCAUAUUAUGUUUGGUCAUCACCUUAUUGCUCCAAUAAUAAAACUUCAACUUUUCAAACAGUGGAUAAUUAAGAGGUUAAUUUGCAUUUUAAUUGUUGAACUCAAGCUGAUUAAUUACGCAAUGCAAUGCGGCACAUUCAUUAUCUUGACUAGCAAAAUCCCAAGAAUAAUAACUACAAAAGUGAAUAUAAAGCAAACAUACACCCACCAAUUAGCAAAAUAAAAAAUAAAAAAAAUACAUUGAAAAAGAAAAGUACCCAGAGAUGCCUAUAACAAUGUUAGGUAAAUUAGUUCCAUCAUUGAUAGUAUAUCAAUUAUUGGGUGUUUGCACACAAACACACAAUCACAAGAAAAAAAUAAAAACAAGCGCUUGUUAAAAAGAAACCAAAGUCUGGAAAUAAUUACCAAAGGCGAUGAGAGUAGUGGGGAACAAUACACACAAAGGCAGAAGAUCACAGAUUAUAAAUUGUAACAACAAACUAAGGCAUGCACCUCCACCUAGAAAUCACCCAUUCUCCAACACAGAUGAUUCGGUCUAAAAAAAUUUUAGGGAACAAAACAACUAAAAAACUGAGAUCACAUUGUUCUCUAGUACACAUUCAACGAGCAAUUAGUCAAGAACAAGCCUAUAACACAACAUCAAAAUCGAACACCUUAUUGAUAAAUGUCUACAUUUGAGUCGGGUGGAGACAAACCUGAACUCAUUCCCCGUCGUUUCCCUUCUAUACUCAAGUUUCGCGUUUGUGAUGAACGUUGCGUUGUUCCGCAAUACGCAACUAUGGUUUAGUUGUCGACCCUUAUCUGAACUCUCCCGUUGUUGUCCUCAGCCGUUCUUAUCGGUCUGGUUUAUCUCUUCGGAAUAUCGGAUUUGAUUUGGGGGAGUAAUUUUAGGGGAACAAUUGAGCAGUAACUGCCACUUGAAUGGCGUUCGAUACGGGGGAUAUGAUUGUGCAGACAUACG
rnacentral:lncRNA from 1 species